rnacentral:rRNA from 1 species
UGGCUUCAACGUGAAGGUGCUGGGGUUGUCGCUGACCUUUGAAAGGGUCGUGCACACCUUGGUGCUCUCACAUAUAAUCCAUCUCACCCCUUUUGUGCAUCACCGCGUGGGGACCCCUUUUGGCUAGUUCUGAGGGGGGUCUUCACGUUUUUACACAGACACCCUUUUAAUGCAAUGUGUAGAAUGUCUUACUUUUUGCGAUCAUACGCAAUCAAUACAACUUUCAACAACGGAUCUCUUGGCUCUCGCAUCGAUGAAGAACGCAGCGAAAUGCGAUACGUAAUGUGAAUUGCAGAAUUCAGUGAAUCAUCGAAUCUUUGAACGCACCUUGCGCCCUUUGGCAUUCCGAGGGGCACACCCGUUUGAGUGUCGUGACAUUCUCAAAACCUUCUUGGUUUCUUGACCGGGAAGGCUUUGGACUUUGGAGGCUUUUGCUGGCCUUCCUUUGUUGAAGCCAGCUCCUCUGAAAUGAAUUAGUGGGGUCUGCUUUGCCUAUCCUUGACGUGAUAAGAUGUUUUCUACGUCUUGGGUUUUGCACUGUUCCUGCUUCUAACCGUCUCAUAGAAGACAAUGGUCAAGUGAUUGCCACUUGACCCACAAACCUUGACCUCAAAUCGGGUGAGACUACCCGCUGAACUUAAGCAUAUCAAUAAGGCGGGGGGAA